rnacentral:rRNA from 1 species
GACGGAGGGUGCAAGCGUUGCUCGGAAUCACUGGGCGUAAAGGGUGCGUAGGCGGUCUCGCAAGUCUGGCGUGAAAGCCCAAGGCUCAGCCUUGGAAGUGCGCUCGAAACUGCAAAGCUAGAGUCCGGAAGAGGAGAGUGGAAUUCCUGGUGUAGCGGUGAAAUGCGCAGAUAUCGGGAGGAACACCUGUGGCGAAAGCGGCGCACUGGACCACAACUGACGCUGAGGCGCGAAAGCUAGGGGAGCAAACAGG